UACGUAGGGUGCAAGCGUUGUCCGGAAUUAUUGGGCGUAAAGAGCGUGUAGGCGGCCCGGUAAGUCCGCUGUGAAAGUCGGGGGCUCAACCCUCGGAUGCCGGUGGAUACUGUCGGGCUCGAGUACGGAAGAGGCGAGUGGAAUUCCUGGUGUAGCGGUGAAAUGCGCAGAUAUCAGGAGGAACACCUAUUGCGAAGGCGGCUCGCUGGGACGUUACUGACGCUGAGACGCGAAAGCGUGGGGAGCAAACAGG
rnacentral:rRNA from 1 species